UACAUGGGGUGCAAACGUUGCUCGGAAUCAUUGGGCGUAAAGCGCGCGUAGGCGGUUGCCUAAGUCAGAUGUGAAAGCCCUCGGCUCAACUGGGGAAGUGCAUCUGAAACUGGGCAGCUAGAGUACUAAAGAGGGUCGCGGAAUUCCCGGUGUAGAGGUGAAAUUCGUAGAUAUCGGGAGGAACACCGGUGGCGAAGGCGGCGACCUGGGUAGAUACUGACGCUGAGGCGCGAAAGCGUGGGGAGCAAACAGG
rnacentral:rRNA from 1 species